GCGGGAGUGGCGGAACGGCAGACGCGCUAGACUUAGGAUCUAGUCCUCGUAAGAGGGUGGGGGUUCAAAUCCCCCCUUCCGCA
rnacentral:tRNA from 1 species